GACGAACGCUGGCGGCGUGCUUAACACAUGCAAGUCGAACGGAAAGGCCCUGCUUUUGUGGGGUGCUCGAGUGGCGAACGGGUGAGUAACACGUGAGUAACCUGCCCUUGACUUUGGGAUAACUUCAGGAAACUGGGGCUAAUACCGGAUAGGAGCUCCUGCUGCAUGGUGGGGGUUGGAAAGUUUCGGCGGUUGGGGAUGGACGCGCGGCUUAUCAGCUUGUUGGUGGGGUAGUGGCUUACCAAGGCUUUGACGGGUAGCCGGCCUGAGAGGGUGACCGGCCACAUUGGGACUGAGAGACGGCCCAGACUCCUACGGGAGGCAGCAGUGGGGAAUAUGGCACAAUGGGCGGAAGCCUGAUGCAGCAACGCCGCGUGCGGGAUGACGGCCUUCGGGGUGUAAACCGCUUUCGCCUGUGACGAAGCGUGAGUGACGGUAAUGGGUAAAGAAGCACCGGCUAACUACGUG
rnacentral:rRNA from 1 species